UACGUAGGGACCGAGCGUUGUCCGGAAUCAUUGGGCGUAAAGAGCGUGUAGGCGGCUCGAUAAGUCUGCUGUGAAAGUCCAGGGCUCAACCCUGGAAUGCCGGUGGAUACUGUCGGGCUAGAGUCCGGAAGGGGCGAGUGGAAUUCCUGGUGUAGCGGUGAAAUGCGCAGAUAUCAGGAGGAACACCAAUGGCGAAGGCAGCUCGCUGGGACGUGACUGACGCUGAGACGCGAAAGCGUGGGGAGCAAACAGG
rnacentral:rRNA from 1 species